GGGUUGUGAGGUUAAGCGACUAAGCGUACACGGUGGAUGCCCUGGCAGUCAGAGGCGAUGAAGGACGUGCUAAUCUGCGAUAAGCGUCGGUAAGGUGAUAUGAACCGUUAUAACCGGCGAUUUCCGAAUGGGGAAACCCAGUGUGUUUCGACACACUAUCAUUAACUGAAUCCAUAGGUUAAUGAGGCGAACCGGGGGAACUGAAACAUCUAAGUACCCCGAGGAAAAGAAAUCAACCGAGAUUCCCCCAGUAGCGGCGAGCGAACGGGGAGCAGCCCAGAGCCUGAAUCAGUGUGUGUGUUAGUGGAAGCGUCUGGAAAGGCGCGCGAUACAGGGUGACAGCCCCGU
rnacentral:rRNA from 1 species